UACGUAGGGUCCAAGCGUUAUCCGGAAUCACUGGGCGUAAAGCGUGCGUAGGCGGGUUUUAAGUGCAAUGCGAAAUCCUGUGGCUCAACCACAUGGACUGUAUUGCAUACUGGAUACCUGGAGGAAUGCAGAGGCAAGUGGAAUUACCGGUGUAGCAGUGAAAUGCGUAGAGAUCGGUAGGAACACCAAUGGCGAAGGCAGCUUGCUGGGCAUCACCUGACGCUAAGGCACGAAAGCGUGGGGAGCGAACAGG
rnacentral:rRNA from 1 species